rnacentral:misc_RNA from 1 species
GAUGAAGAACGCAGCGAAAUGCGAUAAGUAAUGUGAAUUGCAGAAUUCAGUGAAUCAUCGAAUCUUUGAACGCACCUUGCACUCCUUGGUAUUCCGAGGAGUACGCCUGUUCGAGUGUUAUGAAGCUCUCAAAACGCAAUUGGCUUAAAACCUGAUUGUUGUUUUGGAUUUGAACUUUGCCGUGUUAUAACGGCUGGUUUUAAAAGUAUUAGCUGGUACUAGAACGAAUUGGUUCUACUCAACGUGAUAAUUAUCUGAUCGUUGAGGACAUUCCUUUCACGAGGAAUGGCCAUAGUAUAUUCAAUGGACUGCUUCUAAUCUGGCUUUAAUUCUUUAUUGGAUUAACCACUUUUCAAAUCUGACCUCGAAUCAGGUGGGACUACCCGCUGAACUUAAGCAUAUCAAUAAGCGGAGGA